rnacentral:lncRNA from 1 species
UGAUAUGUUUUUUAUUUUUUGAAAAAAAAAUACGUUUAAACAUGAACCUUGAAAUAAAAUAAACGUUCCGUUACUUAUGGCUUGUGUUUAUAACUUUGCUAGCUGACCAUCCACAUCCCCAAACCUCACAUCACACAAACCCCUCUAUACACUCAGGAAAAAGACACGGUCAACUAUAGAAAGCAAUUUCAUAGGUCUCCAUAAUUUCUCUAACCACGUAAUCAAUCUCACGUAUAACUUAUUAAAUGUCUUGGCUAUACAUAUAUUUACUACGUUACUGAAAUGCAUCAUGAUAGGCGACAACUGUAUGCAGCAAAUUAUAUACAGUCUAAACUUUAAAAUCUUUUUAUUUUUAAUAUAUGCUCAAAUACAUCAUUGCAUGUAACUGGAUACAAACAUAUUACACCACAUCUUACUCAUCCUGCCAAAAUUGCCACCUCUAGUUCCGACAAUUGCAAUUUGUUAAGUGUGUGUCACAGAUUAGGUUCCAACUUAGAUUGUAUACCUUUCAUUAAAUUCGUUUUCUUAAGUUUAACUAAAUUAUCUUGUCAAAUAGUGCAUUAAUGCCAUGUAUACUUAGAAUAAACGUAAAGGAUAACUAAGAUCAAAUCAAAAUCAGACCUUGAUAAAUGAUGAUUGAAAGUCUUCGUA